rnacentral:rRNA from 1 species
UACGUAGGGCGCAAGCGUUGUCCGGAAUUAUUGGGCGUAAAGAGCUCGUAGGCGGCUUGUCACGUCGAUUGUGAAAGCCCGAGGCUUAACCUCGGGUCUGCAGUCGAUACGGGCUAGCUAGAGUGUGGUAGGGGAGAUCGGAAUUCCUGGUGUAGCGGUGAAAUACGCAGAUAUCAGGAGGAACACCGGUGGCGAAGGCGGAUCUCUGGGCCAUUACUGACGCUGAGGAGCGAAAGCGUGGGGAGCGAACAGG